AGUAACGGCGAGUGAAGCGGGAAAAGCUCAAAUUUAAAAUCUGGCAGUCUUUGGCUGUCCGAGUUGUAAUCUAGAGAAGCAUUAUCCGCGCUGGACCGUGUACAAGUCUCCUGGAAUGGAGCGUCAUAGAGGGUGAGAAUCCCGUCUUUGACACGGACUGCCAGCGCUU
rnacentral:rRNA from 1 species